rnacentral:rRNA from 1 species
UACGUAGGGAGCGAGCGUUGUCCGGAAUCAUUGGGCGUAAAGCGCGUGUAGGCGGCUGACUAAGUCCGCUCUGAAAGCCCGGGGCUCAACCCCGGGAGGCGGGUGGAUACUGGUCAGCUCGAGUCCGGAAGAGGAGUGUGGAAUUCCUGGUGUAGCGGUGAAAUGCGCAGAUAUCAGGAGGAACACCAAUGGCGAAGGCAGCACUCUGGGACGGUACUGACGCUGAGACGCGAAAGCGUGGGGAGCAAACAGG